rnacentral:rRNA from 1 species
UUGGGCGUAAAGCGCGCGCAGGCGGUCCUUUAAGUCUGAUGUGAAAGCCCACGGCUCAACCGUGGAGGGUCAUUGGAAACUGGGGGACUUGAGUACAGAAGAGGAAAGUGGAAUUCCAUGUGUAGCGGUGAAAUGCGUAGAGAUGUGGAGGAACACCAGUGGCGAAGGCGACUUUCUGGUCUGUAACUGACGCUGAGGCGCGAAAGCGUGGGGAGCAAACAGGAUUAGACACCCUGGUAGUCCACGCCGUAAACGAUGAGUGCUAAGUGUUAGGGGGUUUCCGCCCCUUAGUGCUGCAGCUAACGCAUUAAGCACUCCGCCUGGGGAGUACGGCCGCAAGGCUGAAACUCAAAGGAAUUGACGGGGGCCCGCACAAGCGGUGGAGCAUGUGGUUUAAUUCGAAGCAACGCGAAGAACCUUACCAGGUCUUGACAUCCCGCUGCCCGGCAUAGAGAUAUGCUUUUCCCUUCGGGGACAGCGGUGACAGGUGGUGCAUGGUUGUCGUCAGCUCGUGUCGUGAGAUGUUGGGUUAAGUCCCGCAACGAGCGCAACCCUUGAUCUUAGUUGCCAGCAUUCAGUUGGGCACUCUAAGGUGACUGCCGGUGACAAACCGGAGGAAGGUGGGGAUGACGUCAAAUCAUCAUGCCCCUUAUGACCUGGGCUACACACGUGCUACAAUGGACGGUACAAAGGGCUGCAAACCCGCGAGGGUAAGCCAAUCCCAGAAAACCGUUCUCAGUUCGGAUUGCAGGCUGCAACUCGCCUGCAUGAAGCCGGAAUCGCUAGUAAUCG